CAGGAGUAUACAGUAAUGUCCUAGGUGUUCACAUUCACUCAUCACUCACUCAUUCACUCACCCAGAGUAACUUCUAGUUCUGCAAGAUCCAUUCAUUGGAAACAGAAGUUGAUGGAGACCUUGGAGUUGGGAAAGAAAAGGAGGCCAAGAAGGAUAACUGGUAGUAGAGUGGCCUUACAGCUAGAUGAGGAAUUCGGAUUCUAGUCUUCAGGGUCUCACUCUGUCACCCACGCUGGAGUGCAGUGGCGUGAUCUCUGCUCACUGCAACCUCUGCCUCCUGGGUUCAAGCGAUUCUCGUGCCUCAGCGUCCCGAGUAGCUGUGAUUACAGCUGAAGUUCUCUGGAAUGGUCAUGAAGAGAGAAAACAUCAAAGAUUAGGAAAUCUAUCCCAAAAAGAUCACAAAAUCAAGGACAGUGACACCUUUUUGAGCUUUUUACUUGACUCUUCCUGUUUUUUUUUUUUUCCACUUCCCUUAGUCAUUCACUAAUCAGUUCUGCUUUAGAACCAUUAAAAUAAUAGAAAAGUUACAGAAACUUGGUAAAAUGUUUCUCUGGCCUAUUUCCAAACCGCCCAAAAUUAAUGGGAAAUGGUUAAAGUCAAAAAAG
rnacentral:lncRNA from 1 species